rnacentral:tmRNA from 1 species
GACUGGAUUUGACGGCAGGCAGAGGUGGUAAGCAAGCAUGCAGUGCGCCUGAGGGUGGGCACUCUAAUCUCGGCUCUCGAAAAUUUAAUUGGCGAAAACAAACUCGCUCUCGCUGCUUGAUCGAAGUUUAGUACAUCAACUUAAUCCCCGCCGCAGAUGUGUGGGGACGAGACAUCACCCAAGCGCUGUGGCUCCGAAGCGUCUUGAUCAGGUGGUGCCGGAAACAUCGGAGAUACCUUUGGACGGCCUCGCGUCCGGAGGGACAUUCUUAGAGGAUAAGGCCCUCCGCGGUGGCUCUGGUCUGCGCCUGGCCCGAAAAACUUAGGCAGAGAUAAGCAUGUAGAAAACUUAGUGCGUCCCUGUUCGGACGAGGGUUCGAUACCCUCCUGGUCCAC